rnacentral:lncRNA from 1 species
GGCCCCUCAGGAGGAAGGGGCGGGGAGAUCCCAGCUACUAGAGGACGCCCGUUCCAAUGGCAACUCUGCCAAGGCGCCUAUGAGAGCCUCUUGGCUUUUACCUGGUCUGCGAGAAAUCAAACUUUGGGCACAAGUCAUGAAGCCGACAAGCCCGGGAGACACAGUGUCAGAAUUACAAGGUGAGAUCAGCCGCCCGGCCAAGCUAUCUUCUCGCUAGCAGAUGAAGCUGCUUUGGUGGAAGGUGCUAAAAAGCUGGGCUUUGUACAGUGAGAACACCAUAUUCGGUCAUCAUAGAAGCAAUAGAGCUUUGGAGCCAAACCCUUCUGAUGAUCCAAGGGCAAGCACAGUCUUCUUGCAAAAAUCUCAAACAGAUGGUAUCUACUAAGCAUUUUACUAAAAAGUACAGCUCGUGUUCAACCAUAUACCUAGAUGACAGCACAGCCAGCCAGCCUCAUCUUACAAUCAUAGUAAAAUCUGUGGCCUUAGCAAUAUAUUAUCACAUGAAGAAAAGCAAGAAAAGAUGCCAAAGGAAUACUUUGAGUAUGUUCCUGAACACAAGUUUAUUUACAGAUUUGUCCAUGUUCUUUUUAAAGCCACAAACCUAACAGCUGAAUUUGCAAUAGUAACUUUGGAAUGAGCUUGAAAGACAGUUUUUGCAGCUAAUUGACUAUAACGUCGAAGUUUCUGGAAGUGUUUAUGCCAAGUACUAUUUUGAUCUUCGAUCCUUGGCAAAGGACAAUAGCUUGCAUUUUCCAGUUUAUCUUCUCAACAAAGAAAGGGCACAGAACCUGGAAGCUAUUUCAAGGAUGGAAGACGCCAAAAUCUUUUAUAGUGAAGGUCCUUCAGCGCUGAUAAUUUCAUUAAUCUUCAGCGCUCUAAAGCCAUUAACUCUUGAAGGAAGAAAUGAGGGGCUAUAUCAUGUGAACCCCUCAUCAAAAAAGUUCGGAAAAUAUUACCUCUCAUGCUCAACAACUAGAAAAGUUAGUAUUUUCAAAAGAAGAAAAAUCUCAAAGUUGAGAGGCUUGUGGGCAACUAGGAUUGCACUCCACAGGAAAAAAAUGGGAUCGUUGCAGUGCAACAACUCUCGUACACUCUUCUGUCUUUUUAAACGUAAACAGGUAUAAAAACUACUCCAAAGUGAAGACUUCUUGCCCAUACAUAGAUAUCUUUUUCUGUGUGUGGACUAAUAGCUGUGAACUAUGUAAGGGUUUUAAAACAAUAGUUUAAAUUUUUAGAUUUCAGACAUAAUUUUCUGUUUCUUUUCUAUUUUUCUUUUCCCCCAAUAUUGCUGCAGACACAUUUAAAAUAAAUGCAGUAUUACUAUUAAAACAUGGGACUGUAAUAACUCAUGAAGCCACUAGAAGCAGACCGCUCAUUUUCAGGUGUUGAAGGGUUCUACCUGCCUACUUUUACCAUCGGAGCUGCUCGUCACUGGCAAUCAUUUUAAACAAAAGCUGAUGGAGUUCAUUUGCCAUUCAUAUCUUUUGUAAGCAUUACUUGCUAGCAUUUUAGCAUGUUUGGGGUCACAAAAGAAAAACUAUUAGUUAUUGGUUACCUACUUGUAUUAGGGUCCAUGGUAUGUUUCUUAUAAACUAUAAUGAUCCUUUUGUGUGUGUGUGUGAAUUUUAUUUAUUUAUUUACUUAUUUUUUAUUUGCUGAUAAAUUUUCUUAUUUGUUAAAUAAAUGUAUUGAGAGAUAUUUUCAUAAUGCCAAACCACAUGAUGAUCCAGUGGUGAUAUAAAAAUAAUAAUAAGUGAUGUGAUCUGAAAGUUUCAGGGCAGAUUCUAGUUUUAAUGUAGUGUGCUUAGACCCUCCAGUGCACGGCAGCUUAUGUAUAUAUGCUAUAAACCUUUAUAAAAUACCGUUCAAAAGUUUCAUAGUAUUUAUUUUUUCUUUUUUAUAAAAGAUGGGGUCUUACUAUGUUGCCCAGGCUAGAGUGUAAUGGCUAUUCAGAGGCACAAUCAUGACUCCACAGCCUGGAAAUUCUGGCCUCAAGCAAUCCUCCCAUGUCAGCCUACCAAGUAGCUAGGACUAUAGGUGUAGUACCACCACCUCUGGUUUUAUUUUGCAAAAACUGAAUAUUAAGCUUUUAACUUUUUGUUUCAGUCAAUAUCUGCUGUCUCCAAGAAACGCUGAAACAAAAAAUUAAAAGCUUAAUAUUUAGGAGCUGGGCAUGCCUGUAGUUCCAGCUACUCAUGAGUCUUAAGUGGGAGAAUCACUUGAGGCCUAGCAUUGGAGGCAGCAGUGCUCUAUGAUUGUGCCUGUAAAUAGCCAUUGCACUACAGCCUUGGCAACAUAGUGAGACCCUAUGCCUUUAAAGAAUUGCAAAACUAAAUACAUGUAUAAGCAAUAUAAUAAACUUUCCAAUGAUGUUUUGUAAAUGUUUGUAGCACUGAUACUUGUACAAGUAUCAAAGCUUAAAAUUACACUAAGACUUUUGGAAUUCUUGUAUUUUUAUAAAGUGCCCUCUUCUCUUUUAAAGUAGUUCUUAGCAGGGCUGUUAUCUACGUUGAUCACCUAAAAUUAUUUUCCCUACAUGUGGUAAAGGAAGAAUAUGAUCAGUGUUAAUUUACAUGUAACAGAUUAGAAGGAAUUGGACCCUAAUAGUAGCAGGUGAUUAAACAUUUUAUUAUCCCACCUGUUAGCCUGGCUACA